CAAUAGCGUAUACUAAAGUUGUUGCGAUUAAAAAGCUCGUAGUUGGAUCUCAGGCAUGGGCGCACGGUCCGCCUCGCGGCGGUCACUGUGUGUUUUGUUUCCCAUCCUACGCUUCCCGGUUAUCAGCCCAUGGUGCUCUUAACUGAGCGUUUUGGGUGGCCGGAACGUUUACUUUGAAGAAAUUAGAGUGUUCAAAGCAGGCACGUUGCCUGAAUAAUGGUGCAUGGAAUAAUGGAAUAGGACCUCGGUUCUAUUUUGCUGGUUUUCGGAACACGAGGUAAUGAUUAAGAGGGACAGACGGGGGCAUCCGUAUUGCGGUGUUAGAGGUGAAAUUCUUGGAUCAUCGCAAGACGAACAACUGCGAAAGCAUUUGCCAAGCAUGUUUUCAUUAG
rnacentral:rRNA from 1 species